AUUGAACGCUGGCGGCAGGCCUAACACAUGCAAGUCGAGCGGAUGAAGGGAGCUUGCUCCUGUAUUCAGCGGCGGACGGGUGAGUAAUGCCUAGGAAUCUGCCUGGUAGUGGGGGAUAACGUCCGGAAACGGGCGCUAAUACCGCAUACGUCCUGAGGGAGAAAGUGGGGGAUCUUCGGACCUCACGCUAUCAGAUGAGCCUAGGUCGGAUUAGCUAGUUGGUGGGGUAAGGGCCUACCAAGGCGACGAUCCGUAACUGGUCUGAGAGGAUGAUCAGUCACACUGGAACUGAGACACGGUCCAGACUCCUACGGGAGGCAGCAGUGGGGAAUAUUGGACAAUGGGCGAAAGCCUGAUCCAGCCAUGCCGCGUGUGUGAAGAAGGUCUUCGGAUUGUAAAGCACCUUAAGUUGGGAGGAAGGGCAGUAAGUUAAUACCUUGCUGUUUUGACGGUACCAACAGAAUAAGCACCGGCUAACUUCGUG
rnacentral:rRNA from 1 species